AUGAGGCUUUCGCUUUCUAUCUUCACCAUGGUUUGGAGACCGGGUUAUAGGAUCGCCCUUGCACUACAAAAAAAAGACACAUCCGUGACAUUUUGGGCCAAACGAAUUUUUUUCUGUCAUACAUAUGACACUUCUAUGACGAUAAUUGUGACAAAACCCGGUAUCAUCAUUGAUGUGGUGGGCUCCUACUUCUAUGACAAAAAAUCAUGA
rnacentral:rRNA from 1 species